CUCUCAUGUUAAAUGGGUGUUUUUUAAGUGAAUUACUCAGUUGUUCACUUCUAGACAAGGUGUUGUAGGUUUUGACAUGCAGCAUUAGAUGAUAGCCUAACAGUAGUGUGCAAAAAAAAAGUUUAAUAGAUGUUAAAUUCCCUCUGUACUUUUCCUACUGACAUUACAAUCACUCUCUUCAACUAAUGUUUCUUUCCUCUGUCUCUCCCCCUCUUGCGCUUUCUUUUACGAUCCACGCUGCUUCUUCUCGACCUCUUGCAAGCACAUAAGUACCGCCAUUUAUAUCCACUUCAAAUGACCGUGGUUCAGACUGUCUAUCUCAUAUUCAGAAAAUGCAGACUUAUAGUUUUAUACUCUUCAGCUGAAUAGAGGCUUGACGAAAUAUUUCCAAUGCCAAAUUGCCCUUAAUGUCAGUGUGAAAUUAGGUUCCUGACCUAGCCUGUGCUGUGCAGUAUGCUUAUUCUCUUUCUUUAAUCCUUCUCCUGCCUAUUCUUGCAUAGCGGUGCCGAAACUGGACUCUGAUGACAUCCUUCUUUGACGCCAUCUGUCUCUCUUUCUUUCUAAAGGGGAUUCUAAAGUAAACAUUAGGGACUCCCAUGGCAAGAUGGCUACUCAUUACUGGAAUGGAUGCAUGGAUGUUUUCCAAAAAUCUGACUCCCAGUCAGUCAAACAGAAUGUCUACUACAGGAGCUUUGUAUAAAGUGGUCAUGAGAGAGUUGGAGUCAGUACUAUGCCCUGUUAUCAGCUCGGCUGUCUCGCUCUGGCAAUCAGAGAAGCCUCAGUACAGAACUGGAGCCUGAUUCCCUGGAGCUGACACCUCACACAUCUUGUGUGAAUGAUAUUUACUGUUGUGUCAUGUGAGUACGUGUACUCAAACCAUUGAUAAAACUAUGCAGUUCAUUGUACAUAUCAUUGUGCAAUUCCAGAUGAUAGUAUUAUUUGGAAUAGUAAAUAAUGACAAAUGCCUUGGGAUUGAUAAAGUGAUGAUGAACUGUCAAUCUUGUUUAAUGACUUCUAUUGGCCUGGGAAAACUCUUCACAUGGAGAAAUUUUGGCAUUUAUUUUUUACUAUAUAUAGUUCUGGCGACUUCAGACUUUCGUGAAUUGAAACAUUUCUCUUUUUCAUAUAUUUCAACCACACACAAAAAAGUGAAACAUUUCUGAAUUGUAGAUGACCAGUAUAUGAUUCCAAACUGAGUUUUGGCUUUGAAUUGUUUGUGAGAUUAACUAUGUGAGGUUUUAGACAUCUUUAGGCAGGACUUGUG
ensembl:lncRNA